CUCAAACCCAUUGAACAUAGUGAUCGACGUCAUCUCCCAAUUUUGAAUUCCCUGUAUUCGAAGCGGACGAAGAUGAUGUUGAAGGGAUUCCUGACGAGAUUUCCGACUUCUUGAGCAAGAGAGAAGAUCACUCAGCUGCAUCUCGAGAAUCAGCAGAACAGCCAACUGGGCAUUAUCAAAAAAAAAAAAAAAAAAAAAAAAAAAAAAAAAGAAAAAAAGAAAAAAGAAAGAGGAGGGUGCAAAAUCAAAAGAAAUCAAAAGAAAGCAAAAUCAAAAGNNN
rnacentral:lncRNA from 1 species